rnacentral:rRNA from 1 species
UACGAAGGGGGCUAGCGUUGUCCGGAAUCAUUGGGCGUAAAGAGCGCGUAGGUGGCUUUAUAAGUCCGUUGUGAAAGUCAAAGGCUCAACCUUUGAAAGCCGAUGGAUACUGUGAAGCUAGAGUACGGAAGAGGCGAGUGGAAUUCCUGGUGUAGCGGUGGAAUGCGCAGAUAUCAGGAGGAACACCAAUAGCGAAGGCAGCUCGCUGGGACGUUACUGACACUGAGGCGCGAAAGCGUGGGGAGCGAACAGG